CUCGGAGUUUGAUCCUGGCUCAGAUUGAACGCUGGCGGAAUGCUUUACACAUGCAAGUCGAACGGUAGAGGGGGCAACCCCUUGAGAGUGGCGAACGGGUGAGUAAUAUAUCGGAACGUGCCCAGUCGUGGGGGAUAACGUAGCGAAAAUUACGCUAAUACCGCAUACGAUCUAAGGAUGAAAGCGAGGGAUCGCAAGACCUCGCGCGAUUGGAGCGGCCGAUAUCAGAUUAGGUAGUUGGUGGGGUAAAGGCUCACCAAGCCAACGAUCUGUAGCUGGUCUGAGAGGACGACCAGCCACACUGGAACUGAGACACGGUCCAGACUCCGUACGGGAGGCAGCAGUGGGGAAUUUUGGACAAUGGGCGCAAGCCUGAUCCAGCCCAUGCCGCGUGCAGGAAGAAGCAUCUAUGGUGUGUAAACUGCUUUUAGAC
rnacentral:rRNA from 1 species